UCCUUAAGAGAUUUAUGAAAUAUCUUCUCAUUCAUCCCAUUAGGCUAGUUGUAUUUUCUUCACAUAUAAAGGCUUGACUACGUACUCAAACUUUUCGCUGUUCAUUUUCUGUGCAGGCUCUGCUUCUUAGCUAUCCAUUUUUGUGGUCGAAGCUUUACCUUCACUUAUUCAAUCAACGACGGUCAAAACUGGGUAAACACAAAAAGAAGCAAAACUGAACUUGUACAGCCAUGUCAAGGCACGGCAAACCGGCGCCAUGCCUGUAGAGAAAGUGGGCUGGGAAGGGGCUGGCUGUGCAUGCUCAGCCCGGCUUACUUAAAGAGUUAUCAGGCAAUUCUUCUUGGUCUGUGGAUUGUGAUCACAGAAUCUGUCAAUUUAUUAAAGAUUGUUUAUCUAUAGCGAGAAUAAGAACAUGGACAAAGGAAAAAUGUCUUGAAUGUGAAAUCUUGACAUGGUUAGACUUGUAGUUUAAGAAGUUAUUUGGCAGUGUUUUUCUGAUGAAUUUUAGCCUAGGUGGGUAUACAAUGGGCGUUUAGGACGUGAAAAAUUACACUUGCGUAGUCGUAAUUUUAUGUUUGGUAACGUAAACUAAGCAAAGCUUGACAUGAUUAAAAAAGGUAGCUGAAAAUUUGUCUACUAUUGUGCUUCCAUAACCCAUCUGUAUGGUGCAUUAACCUGAACUAUACGAACUUCUCGGUCAAAAUGUUUAAUAAGGAAAAAUUGAUGAUAUUGGAGAACAUCAAAUAAGAAAACUUGAAUUCCAAAGAAGCAAGACAAACGAUAACAUCAAUUAAAAGCCCGAGGCUUUAAAUGGGCAUUAGAAAAUGAAAACAAACAUUGCACAUAGUUCCUAAUACUUGAUGAAAGCAGAGAUGGAUUCUUAGUAUUCUGCACUAGUACGGAGUUGUUCAUGGCUUUGGUUAAUGAACAAGAUGUCAUAGAUCAGAGCAGCAAUUCCAGCACCGACAAAUGGGCCGAGCCAGAAUACCCAGUGGUUGUCCCAUGUCCAGCUGACCACAGCAGGGCCAAAAGACACGGCGGGGUUCAUGGAUGCACCAUCGAAGGCACCACCGGCUAAGAUGUUAGCACCUACAAUGAAGCCAAUGGCAAUGGGGGCAAUGAUCCCUAAGUUACCCCUCUUUGGAUCCACUGCAGUAGCAUAAACUGUGUAAACGAGUCCAAAGGUCAUCACUAUCUCAAAAACAACUGCAUUCCAAACUGUCACUCCAGAUGAAAGUGCAAAAGCUGAUGUUUCCUGUAAACAAGAAUUGAACUUUAGCCUAUUUGUUAUAGUUAUGGACUCGACUUGACUGGAUAGUACAGUAAGAUUCAACUUACGAGUCCGCCUGUGGCUAACCUAAGAAGCAAGCAUGCAACAACAGAUCCAAGUAAUUGGGCUAUCCAGUACAGGAUGCUCCUAAUCAAUGUGAUGUGACCACCAACAAAGGCACCAAAGGUGACAGCAGGGUUUACGUGGCCGCCAGAGAUGUUAGCACCGACCGAAACCGCCACGAAAAGUGCAAAAGCGUGCGCUAUCGCCUCAGCAAUUAGGCCAGUUGGCGUGGUCGAUCCAUUGUUUGUAAGCUUUGCUGUGGAAAAAGUCAAAAUCCCAAUGAUUUAAUUCUCGAAUUCUAACAACUUAAACUUUUAAAUGAAUUUGUACAGGAUAACUACUUACCGAAAGCCAUGCCAGAACCUUCACCAGCAAAAACAAAAAUCAACAUCGAAAUGAACUCGGCCAGGGUGGCCUUGAGGGCUUCCGGCUGACUAGCCUCGGCCAGAGAUCCGACAGCUAUUCUCGAAAUCGGCAUUUUUCUUCAAAAUUUUAACCUUAAAAACUCAAAAGAAAGCCAAUAAGCUGCCCGCCUUUACCUCUUUGUUUAGCUUAUUACACUGGUCUCAUUUAACAACAGCAGCUAUGUAUAGUGGACUAAGACAUCACAUGGCCCUUUAUUGGAUGCCACUUAGAAUUGUCCGUAAUGGGGCCGCCAAAAUAUUGUGGAGUUGCCACGUGGCAAUUUGGAUGAAGAAAAUCUAUAGCCAGCCAAUUAUAGUGUAGAAUGAUGAGAGCAAUGGAAAAUUCUGGUAGGCGACCAAAAGUACAAAUGAUUAAUCAUAAUUAGAUUAAAGCGACCGUUUCUUGAUUAUUAGUCUAGCUGAGCUUGUGAUUAUGACCUUCCUAUUGUUUAGCACAAGUGUAGAUAAUCUCUAAGAGUCUGAACAACACUCUUGCCGAUCUAUGAACGAGUAAAUUUGAUAGAAACUAGUACAAGGUGUAGUGAAUGUAAUUUCAUAAAGGAUUUUGAGGACGAAAGUGAGUAUAAAAACAAUUAUAAUUCUCUCUCUCUCUCUCUCUCUCUCUCUCUCUCUCUCUCUCUCUCUCUGUGCAUAUAUAGAUCAACGAAAUUUAGUAGCAUAGCAUGUAUUCAUCACGCGGAGAUUUUCUCUAUAGAUUCUGAAAUUUAACUUUGGUCUACAAUCUCCGUGCUUAUAAAAUAUAUACAGCUUCCAACCGACUCCAUAUUGUCUUUGUUAAAAUUAUGCAGAUCAUAAACAUGGUCUAUAUUUUCAUUUGGAGAAUUACUGGUUUUACACUUAAAAAGAUUGGUUUUCCAAUUGUUAUGUUUCCUUAAGAGAUUUAUGAAAUAUCUUCUCAUUCAUCCCAUUAGGCUAGUUGUAUUUUCUUCACAUAUAAAGACUUGACAACGUACUCAAACUUUUCGCUGUUCAUUUUCUGUGCAGGCUCUGCUUCUUAGCUAUCCAUUUUUGUGGUCGAAGCUUUACCUUCACUUAUUCAAUCAACGACGGUCAAAACUGGGUAAAUACAAAAAUAAGCAAAACUGAACUUGUACAGCCAUGUUAAGGCACGGCAAAACCGGCGCCAUGCCUGUAGAGAAAGUGGGCUGGGAAGGGGCUUGCUGUGCAUGCUCAGGCAGCUCAGCCCGGCUUACUUAAGAGUUAUCAGGCAAUUCUUCUUGGUCUGUGGAUUGUCAUCACGGAAUCUGUCAAUUUAUUAAAGAUUGUUUAUCUAUAGUCAGAAUAAGAACAUGGACAAAGGAAAAAUGUCUUUUAUGUGAAAUCUAGACAUGGUUAGACUUGUAGUUUAAGAAGUUAUUUGGCAGUGUUUUUCUGAUGAAUUUUAGCCUAGGUGCGUAUCCAAUGGGCGUUUAGGACGUGAAAAAUUACACUUGCACAGUCGUAAUUUCAUAUUUGGUAACGUAAACUAAGCAAAGCUUGACAUGAUUAAAAAAG
rnacentral:lncRNA from 1 species